rnacentral:rRNA from 1 species
GACGAACGCUGGCGGCGUGCUUAACACGUGCAAGUCGAACGGAAAGGCCCUGCUUGCAGGGUACUCGAGUGGCGAACGGGUGAGUAACACGUGGGUGAUCUGCCCUGCACUUCGGGAUAAGCCUGGGAAACUGGGUCUAAUACCGGAUAGGAGCCAUUUUUAGUGUGAUGGUUGGAAAGUUUUUUCGGUGUAGGAUGAGCUCGCGGCCUAUCAGCUUGUUGGUGGGGUAAUGGCCUACCAAGGCGGCGACGGGUAGCCGGCCUGAGAGGGUGGACGGCCACAUUGGGACUGAGAUACGGCCCAGACUCCUACGGGAGGCAGCAGUGGGGAAUAUUGCACAGUGGGCGCAAGCCUGAUGCAGCGACGCCGCGGGGGGGAUGACGGCCUUCGGGUUGUAAACUCCUUUCGCUAGGGACGAAGCUUUUUGUGACGGUACCUAGAUAAGAAGCACCGGCUAACUACGUG